UACGGAGGGUGCAAGCGUUAUCCGGAUUCACUGGGUUUAAAGGGUGUGUAGGGGGAUAUUUAAGUCAGUGGUGAAAUCUCAAGGCUCAACCUUGAAACUGCCAUUGAUACUAUUUAUCUUGAAUAUCGUUGAGGUAGGCGGAAUAUAUCAUGUAGCGGUGAAAUGCUUAGAUAUGAUAUAGAACACCGAUUGCGAAGGCAGCUUGCUAAACGAUUAUUGACGCUGAGGCACGAAAGCGUGGGGAUCAAACAGG
rnacentral:rRNA from 1 species